UGCAAGUCUCCGCACCCCGUGUGAGAACACCCUUACACUCCUAGUUGGAAUAAGGAGCUGGUAUCAGGCACAAUAACUAGCCCAAGACACCUAGCUACGCCACACCCACAAGGGAACUCAGCAGUAAUUAACAUUGAAUAUAAGCGCCAGCUUGAUUCAGUUAGAGUAAAAAGGGCAGGCAAAUAUGGUGCCAGCCGCCGCGGAUACACCAUGUGGCCCAAGCUGACUUCUUCCGGCGUAAAGAGUGAUUAAAGUAACAUGCUACUGUAGUUAAACUAGAAUAAAGUUGUGAUAAGCUCAUAUCUAGGAAACCCAAAAACGAAAGUUACUACACCCACAACAACUUGAACUCACAACAGCUAAGAAACAAACUAGGAUUAGAUACCCUACUAUGCUUAGCCACAAACUUUUAAUUACACCCGCAACGCCAGGGGAACUACGAGCAAAGCUUAAAACCCAAAGGACUUGACGGUGCCCCAUAUCCCCCUAGAGGAGCCUGUCCUAUAAUCGAUAACCCCCGUUUAACCUCACCACUUUUAGCCAAAUCAGUCUGUAUACCUCCGUCGUCAACUUACCGCAUGAGCGAGUAAUAGUAAGUUUAAUGUCAUAUUUAACCGUCAAUACGUCAGGUCAAGGUGCAACUAAUAAAGUGGGAAGAGAUGGGCUACACUCUCUAGCAUAGAGAACACGAAAAACAUGUAUGAAAUUAUAAUUAGAAGGUGGAUUUAGUAGUAAAAAAAGAACAGAGCGCUUUUUUUAAUUAGGCCCUGGGGUGUGUACACACCGCCCGUCACCCUCUUCGCAGCAAUUUUAUAGUAUUUAACAACUCACUCGCACAGUAGAAGAGGCAAGUCGUAACAUGGUAAGUAUACCGGAAGGUGUGCUUGGAAA
rnacentral:ncRNA from 1 species